UAGGGAAUCUUCCGCAAUGGACGAAAGUCUGACGGAGCAACGCCGCGUGAGUGAUGAAGGUCUUCGGAUCGUAAAACUCUGUUGUCAGGGAAGAACAAGUAUCGGAGUAACUGCCGGUACCUUGACGGUACCUGACCAGAAAGCCACGGCUAACUACGUG
rnacentral:rRNA from 1 species